CCAGGCAGAAGGAGUGCAACGUCUCAGAUCUUGGGUGUCGAGCUCUUCUUCUCCUUUUCUAACUCGGCCAGAUUGCACAUCUUCCUGUGUCGCAGUUGAUAGCCACUAAUAGACUCUGGCUGGAACACGACAUUUAUCUCCUUCUCAUUUGUACCACACAAAUGAAGUUACAAUAAUGGCACUUUGUUGGCACUGAGGAAGACCAGUUCCAAAGUGUCCCACUUUUUCUCGCUAUUCAGCAUUCAGAGUUGAUGCAAAAUAACAAAUACUCUGACCCAGUUUGAGAACACAGCCUGGUCAUGUAGCAAAGAGGAAUGCUUUCGUCAUGGGGUCCCCUAUACUUCCUUCAUGGACCUGCUAAGUCUCAGUGCCUGAAGUGCCCAUCAAGGGUGAAGCAAGAGAAGACCGACAGAGCUACAGAUCUUGUUGUGACAGUUCUCUGUGUGGCCCAGGAGAAGGUCAUGGGAAGGAGGCUAGGCCAGAAUUGUGAUGACCCUUUGUAAGAGUCAGCAUCCUAUAAUGAUGGGAAUCCGGGAAGCUACAAAACCACCUCCUCGUGUGUCAAGAGACGUGAACUUUGAGCCAGAAAAACCUGAGUUUGAGUUCUGACUUGGCACCUCCCCAGCUGUGUGACCUUGUUCCAAUACAUCCCCUUUUCUUUUGGAUCUCAUUUUUCCUGUCUGUAAAACAAAGGGCUCUUUGGAUGCCACUGAAGGAGCUGCUUCCUGUUAGUUCAUAUCAGGAUCUCCAAGGACCUGUGCCCCGAUCUGUGCAGAGGGGACAGUGAUGCCUGCUGGUUUGUCUCCUAGGGUUGUUGGGAGAUGUGUGGACACAGGAGGGGCCUGGCAGAUUUUCUUAGUUGAAAUGUGUUGGGCUUGGGAGCUGCUUUCUAGAUUUUCAGCAAUGUAAUCAUUAACCAUUAACCCCACUUUCUUUUAUGGUCCCUUUCAUAAGCUGCAUUUUGUUGGAACCAUUAUCUUACAUUAGCUGGCUUUCUAAGGCCUGUUCAUCCCUCAGUGAAGAGGCAAUUCAGAUUAAUCACAUGGAACUGGCAGAGCAGCAUUCCACUGGCUACUGGAGGGAGGGAGAGGUCCACUCUCUCCCUUUCCACCCCUCAGGCAUAAGCAGUCCACACACACACACACACACACACACACACACACACACACGAGACUGGUGAACCCCUCUGGAAGUUAACUAGAUUGUCUGUGGAGACAGGAAUGAAACUGCACCCCUGUGUGGAGAUGGCCAGGGCCAGGACACUCUUUGGGACUGGUUAGAGCCUCCAGUGAGGGGGGAGCAGGGAUGAUAGCUUUAGUGGUUCUUUUCUUGGGUUCCCAUGACUUUAGGCAUCUUCACAUUCUUGCGGUCACUGUGGGAGGUAGGAGUCUUAUGGGGUGGGUGCUCUAUGGAGCUGGGCAAGAGCAAGUCGGGACCUUCCCUCUGAAUCUGAGAGAGACAUCAGAUUGCCUCUCUGUAACUCUGGUGUGUGUGUGUGUGUGUGUGUGUGUGUGUGUGCAUGUGAGGGGACAGUGGAGAUAUUUUUAUUUUUAUUUUUUGGUACUAGGGAUUGAACCCAGGGGCACUCAAUCCCUGGGCCACAUCCCCAGCCCUUUUUUAUAAUAAUAUUGUGAGAUAGUCUCACUAAAUUGCUUAGGGCCUUGCUAAGUUGCUGAGGCUGGCUUUGAACUUGUGAUCAUCCUGCCUCAGUCUCUUGAGCCACUGGGAUUCUACAGGUGUGUGUCACCAUGCUCGGCUGAGAGAGAUUUUUAAAGGAGUGCAGUACCCUCCUGAGUCAGCAUAUUAGCAGCAGAAAGGGUGGGAGAGCCCCCCAGAGGGCAGAUAUUUCAGAGGGGAGCCUAGGCUAUAAGACCCAGUCAUGAUUCCACACAGAGAAUGUUCCAUUAGAAUCCUUAGAGGGUGUACUGGAUUUAGCAAGGGUCCCCAAUUUUUCAUGUCCAUCCAGAGCCUCAAAAUAUGACCUUAUUUGUAAACAGGGUCUCCACAGAGAAGUUAGUUUUCUUAUGAUGAGGUCAUAUGGAUCACAGUGAAUCCUAAUUUUAUAACUGGUACCUUUUUAAAAAUUUUUAAUUUAAUUUAGUUUUUAAAUUUAUAUAUGACAGCAGAAUGCAUUAUAAUUCUUAUAACAUAUAUACAGCACAAUUUUUCAUAUCUCUGUAUACAUAGUCACACCAAUUCGUGUCUUCAUACAUGUACUUUGGAUAGUAAUGAUCAUCACAUUCCACCAUCAUUAAUAACCCCAUGCCCCUUCCCUUCGCUUCUCGUCCUUCUGCCUUAUCUAGUGUUGGUCUAUUCCUCCCAUGCUCCCCCUCCCUAUCCCACUAUGAAUCAGUCACCUUAUAUCAAAGAAAACAUUUGGCAUUUGGUUUUUUGGGAUUGGCUGACUUCACUUAGCAUUAUCUUCUCUAACCCCAUCCAUUUACCUGCAAAUGCCAUGAUUUUAUUCUCUUUUAUUGCUGAGUAAUAUUCCAUUGUGUGUAUAUGCCACAUUUUUUUUAUCUGUUCACCUAAUGAUCUUUAUAGGAAAAUGGAAAUUUGGGAAGAGAAACAGAUACCUAGAGAAGGCCAUAUGAAGACAGAAAGAAGCAAGGACUGGAAUGAUACACAGGCCGAGGUUGGAGAGAUGUGCUGUAAACCAACAGCUGCUGAGGAUUGUUAACAACCCAAUCCUCAUAAACCAGGAAGAUGCAAGUGAGGAUUCUUCCCUGGAUCUUUCAAAGGGAGCAUGGCCUGGCUGUCAUCCUGAUUUGGGACUUCUAGCUUCCAGAACUAUGUGAAGAUAAUUUCUGUUGUUUUAGGUCACACGGAUACUAUGAUGGCAACCCUAGGAAAUCAGUAGAGGCCAAACCUUGGGUCAUCUGUGAUGCUGCCUACAGUGUACCCCAUGUUUCUCCCAUCCUUGGCCUGCGGGGAUGUAUUCCAUUUGUGGAUGAGGAUCCUGAAGCUUUUGAAAAGCGAAACCUUUGAUGGACAGCCAAGGUCACGUGAUUGGUGUUUCUAUACAAUAUAGGAAGGGCACUUUACUUCUUCUUGGAGAUAGACACCUUGACAGCUGGAUAGAGCUAGGUGGAGAGAUGAAUGACCUCCAGGAGCUCUUCCAGCUUUUUGGAACCAGGAAAGCUUCCUACAGGACUGGAGGAGUAGGAGAGUGUAAUGUGAGAGACCCCUGGACCAGAGUCACCUUGGCGCCUUCUGACAUGCAGCGUGUCUGAGUCAUAAACUCUGGACUCAUCUCAGGGCUGGGCAGGGUUUUCAAGUCAUUUGCCACUCCCUGUCCUAAUGACUGGAACUUUGGAACACAUCUGUUAGAAACAGGUGAGAGGAAAUGCUCUUCUUGAGGCUACAUAUAUCAUCUAUGGAUAACUCUGUGCUGUGGUCAGAAUAUGUGGCCCUAAAAUUCAUACGUAAACAUACUCAUCUCCAGUGUGAUAGUGUCUGGAGAUAGUGCUUUUGGGAGAUAAUGAGGUUUAACUCUGGUCAUGAGUUAGUGCUCUUAUAAGAGGAGACACGAGAGCUUGCUUUUGUUCUGCUCUCUGCUAUGUGAAGAUAUAUCAAGAAGACAGCCAUCUGCAAACCAGGCUGUGAGUCCUCACCAGAUUCUGGAUCUGCUGGGACCUUGAUCUUGGACUUCAGAACUGUGAGAAUAUACAUUCUAUUGUUUAUCUCACCCAGUCUAAGGUAAUUUGUUAUGGUAGCGAGGCUGAAGUCACUCUUAUUAUUAAGCAGUUUCCUCACACUCUUCUAGCUUUUCACAUAUUUUAAAGGUUUAGGACAGGUGUUGGCAAAUUUUUACUCUAAAAG